rnacentral:rRNA from 1 species
UACGUAGGUGGCAAGCGUUGUCCGGAUUUAUUGGGUUUAAAGGGUGCGUAGGCGGCCCUGUAAGUCAGUGCUGAAAUAUCCCAGCUUAACUGGGAGGGUGGCAUUGAUACUGCGGGGCUAGAGUACAGAUGAGGUAGGCGGAAUUGACGGUGUAGCGGUGAAAUGCUUAGAUAUCGUCAAGAACACCUAUAGCAAAGGCAGCUUACUAGGCUGUAACUGACGCUGAGGCACGAAAGUGUGGGGAUCAAACAGG